rnacentral:snoRNA from 8 species
GAUCAGUGAUGAAAGUAGCCAAAUCUGAGCAUCAGAAGACCACCCAGUGUACCUGAUGCAUGAUCUCUAUAGUUCUGAGA